rnacentral:rRNA from 1 species
GACGAACGCUGACGGCGUGCUUAACACAUGCAAGUCGAACGGUGAAGCGCCUUCCUUUUUGGUGGGUGUGGAUGAGUGGCGAACGGGUGAGUAACACGUGAGUAACCUGCCCCCUUCUUCUGGAUAACCGCAUGAAAGUGUGGCUAAUACGGGAUAUUCUGGGUCUGUCGCAUGAUGGGUCUGGGAAAGAUAUUGUUUCGGUGGGGGAUGGGCUCGCGGCCUAUCAGCUUGUUGGUGGGGUGAUGGCCUACCAAGGCGGUGACGGGUAGCCGGCCUGAGAGGGUGGACGGUCACACUGGGACUGAGACACGGCCCAGACUCCUACGGGAGGCAGCAGGGGGGAAUAGUGCACAAUGGGCGCAAGCCUGAUGCAGCGACGCCGCGUGAGGGAUGGAGGCCUUCGGGUUGUGAACCUCUUUCGCCAGUGAAGCAGGCCUGCCUCGUUUGUGGGUGGGUUGACGGUAGCUGGAGAAGAAGCGCCGGCUAACUACGUG